rnacentral:lncRNA from 1 species
GGGAGGCGGAGGCCCCUGACUCGGGCCGUAGGAGGAGGAAGAACAAGAGGCGAGUGUUGCGUCUAAGGCACCUGGGAUGCUCGCUCACUUCUUCUUCCUUCUUCGGGCAGCUCCGAAGGCUUUAGUUUUGGACUCGAGACUGUGGUAAUUGAAGAUUUCUGCUUCUGGCCAUGAUGGAUUAGUGUGCAGCUGACUAAACCCAAAGCCAAGAACACAAGAGAAGAAUCCUCUGGACUCCCUGAGAAAGAGCCUGAGUUGACUGUCUGGGGUAUAAGAGGCUGUGGGGAAGAGAAGGGAAGCCAGACAGCCCCCCAGAAGGAGAGAGAACCCGCUGACCCGCAGCCACCUCAACAGAAGAGAGAGCCCAGUGGCCUGUAGAUUAGGUAAGGGGUAAUGAAGUAUUAUUAUUUUAAAUUGGUGAGUUUUGG